UUCAGGAUUUGCCAGGGAUGGUUUGCCAGGGAUGGUUUGCCAGGGAUGGUUUAGGGUUUGUUCAGGGUUUGUCAGGGAUGGUUCAGGGUUUGUCAGGGGUGGUUUAGGGUUUGUCAGGAAUGAUUCAGUGUUUGUCAAGAGUGGUUUAGGGUUUGUCAGGGGUGGUUCAGGGUUUGUCAGGAAUGAUUCAGUGUUUGUCAAGAGUGGUUUAGGGUUUGUCAGGGAUGGUUCAGGGUUUGUCAGGGGUGGUUCAGGGUUUGUCAGGAAUGAUUCAGUGUUUGUCAAGAGUGGUUUAGGGUUUGUCAGGGAUGGUUCAUGGUUUGUCAGGAGUGGUUCAGGAUUUGCCAGGGAUGGUUUAGGGUUUGUUCAGGGUUUGUCAGGGAUGGUUCAGGGUUUGUCAGGGGUGGUUCAGGGUUUGUCAGGAAUGAUUCAGUGUUUGUCAAGAGUGGUUUAGGGUUUGUCAGGGAUGGUUCAGGGUUUGUCAGGGGUGGUUCAGGGUUUGUCAGGAAUGAUUCAGUGUUUGUCAAGAGUGGUUUA
rnacentral:lncRNA from 1 species